AACGAACGCUGGCGGCAUGCCUAACACAUGCAAGUCGAACGAAGCCUUCGGGCUUAGUGGCGCACGGGUGCGUAACGCGUGGGAAUCUGCCCUUGGGUUCGGAAUAACAGUUAGAAAUGACUGCUAAUACCGGAUGAUGUCUUCGGACCAAAGAUUUAUCGCCCAAGGAUGAGCCCGCGUAGGAUUAGGUAGUUGGUGGGGUAAUGGCCCACCAAGCCGACGAUCCUUAGCUGGUCUGAGAGGAUGAUCAGCCACACUGGGAAGGAGACACGGCCCAGACUCCUACGGGAGGCAGCAGUGGGGAAUAUUGGACAAUAUGCGAAAGCCUGAUCCAGCAAUGCCGCGUGAGUGAUGAAGGCCUUAGGGUUGUAAAGCUCUUUUACCAGGGAUGAUAAUGACAGUACCUGGAGAAUAAGCUCCGGCUAACUCCGUGCCAGCCGCCGCAGUAA
rnacentral:rRNA from 1 species